rnacentral:rRNA from 1 species
AUUGAACGCUGGCGGCAGGCCUAACACAUGCAAGUCGAGCGAGCGGCGGACGGGUUAGUAAGGUAUGUGGCCUGCCCGAUAGAUGGGGUUAACUACUGGAAACUGUGGCUAAUACCGCAUACUAUCGGAUAACCCAUAUGGGAUUAGCUAGUAGGUGGGGUAAAGGCUCACCUAGGCGACGAUCUCUAGCUGGUCUGAGAGGAUGAUCAGCCACACUGGGACUGAGACACGGCCCAGACUCCUACGGAGGCAGCAGUGGGGAAUAUUGCACAAGGGGCGCAAGCCUGAUGCAGCCAUGCCGCGUGUAUGAAGAAGGCCCUAGGGUUGUAAAGUACUUUAAGUCGGGAGGCGUUACCCGCAGAAGAAGCACCGGCUAACUCCGUGCCAGCCGCCGCGGUAAUAC